rnacentral:lncRNA from 1 species
UCUUCUCUAGGAGUCAAAUGGACCCUCCAGUCAGCUCUACUUUUGCCUAACCCAUCAUCCCAGCAUGGUCGGCCUUUAAACCAUUGAACAAGAAGAAAACUGCAAGAAGAAAGUGUUGCUUCUCCAAGGACAUGUUUCUUCUCUGUGAUCACUUCUGAUCCACACUGGUUGGUCUGGCACCUGAGAGUAGGAGAAGCCUUGUCCUUCAUUCUUUC